AUGGCCAGCCGUGCUUCCUCACCACCACCAUCAUCAUCAUCAUUGUCCCUUAUGGAGCGCUGCAGUGCCAUGGCCAGCUGGGCAUCCUCUUCAUCAUCAUCCUCCUCCUCUUUCUUGUCCUUCAUAGAGAGCUGUAGUACCAUUGCCAGUUGGGCUUCCUCCUCACCAUCAUCAUCCUCUUUCUUUUCCAUUAUGGAGCGCUGCAUUGCCAUGGCCAGCUGUGCUUCUUCCUCCUCCUCUUCCUCCUCUUCCUCCUUGUCCCUUAUGGAGCAUUGCAGUGCCAACAUCAGCUGUGCUUCCUCCUCAUCCUCCUCCUCAUCCUUGUCCCUUAUGGACCGUUGCAGUGCCAGUGCCAGCUGCGCAUCCUCCUCUUCCUCCUCCUCCUUCAUCUCCUUCAUGGAUCGCUGCAGUGCCAUCACCAGCUGUGCUUCCUCUUCAUCCUCCUCCUCCUCCUCCUUGUCCCUUAUGGACUGUUGCAGUGCCAUGGCCAGCUGUGCUUCCUCUUCNNNNNNNNNNNNNNNNNNNNNNNNNGGGCAUCCCUGUUAUGGUAAUCCCAUAGUAGAGUCAAAACUCAUUGGAGUCACGGGGCCAU
rnacentral:lncRNA from 1 species